UACGUAGGGGGCAAGCGUUGUCCGGAAUCAUUGGGCGUAAAGAGCGUGUAGGCGGUCCGGUCAGUCGGUUGUGAAAGUCAAGGGCUCAACCCUUGAAUGCCGGCCGAUACUGCCGGGCUAGAGUCCGGAAGAGGUGAGUGGAAUUCCUGGUGUAGCGGUGGAAUGCGCAGAUAUCAGGAGGAACACCGGUGGCGAAGGCGGGUCUCUGGGCAGUAACUGACGCUGAGGAGCGAAAGCGUGGGGAGCGAACAGG
rnacentral:rRNA from 1 species